ncrna:unclassified sequences Mu-gpT-DE RNA
CCCUGACAGCGGCAUGGGGCUGCUGACUCAACCCAAGACAGGAGAUCGACAUG